CGACCCUAGGUCAGGCGGGAUCACCAGCUGAGUUUAAGCAUAUCAAUAAGCGGAGGAAAAGAAACUAACAAGGAUUCCCUUAGUAACGGCGAGCGAACCGGGAAGAGCCCAGCUUGAAAUUCGGACGUCUUUGGCGUUCGAAUUGUAGUCUGGAGAAGCGGCCUCAGAGAUGGAUCGGGCCCAAGUUCCCUGGAAAGGGGUGCCAGAGAGGGUGAGAGCCCCAUCGUGCCCGGACCCUGUCGCACCACGAGACCUGUCGCACCACGAGGCGCUGUCUACGAGUUCGGUUGUUUGGGAAUGCAGCCCCAAUCGGGCGGUAAAUUCCGUCCAAGGCUAAGUAUGGGUGAGAGACCGAUAGCGAACAAGUACCACGAGGUAAAGAUGAAAAGGACUUUUAAAAGAGAGUCAAAGAGUGGUUGAAAUUGUCGGGAGGGAAGCAGAUGGGGGCCGGCGAUUCAUCCCAGUCGGAUGUGGAAUGGUGGAAUCCAAGCCGCCAAUCGAUUCGGGCCGUGGACCGACGUGGAAUAUGGUGGUGACCUAAGCCCAGGCUUUUGUUACGCCCGUGGAGACGUCGCUGCCUUAAUCGUGGUCUACAGCACGCGCCUCACGGCGUGCCUCGGCAUCUGCAUGCUCACGGCGUCGGCGUGUGGGCUCCCCAGUCGACCCGUCUUGAAACACGGACCAAGGAGUCUGACAUGUUUGCGAGUCAACGGGUGAGUAAACCUGUAAGGCCCAUGGAAGCUGAUUGGCUGGAUCCCUCACGGGUGCACAGCCGACCGACCUUGAUCUUCUGAGAAGGGUUCGAGUGUGAGCAUGCCUGUCGGGACCCGAAAGAUGGUGAACUAUGCGUGAGCGGGGCGAAGCCAGAGGAAACUCUGGUGGAGACCCGCAGCGAUACUGACGUGCAAAUCAUUCGUCUGACUUGGGUAUAGGGGCGAAAGACUAAUCAAACCAUCUAGUAGCUGGUUCCCUCGGAAGUUUCCCUUA
rnacentral:ncRNA from 1 species